UCGAGAGACCCUCUCUACUCUCUUUCUUCUUUUUUUUUUUUUUUAAUUUAUUUUUUUUUAAGAUUUAUUAUUUUAUUAUAUGUAAGUACACUGUAGCUGUCUUCAGACACUCCAGAAGAGGGAGUCAGAUCUCAUUACGGAUGGUUGUGAGCCACCAUGUGGUUGCUGGGAUUUGAACUUCGGACCUUUGGAAGAGCAGUCGGGUGCUCUUACCUGCUGCCCUCUCUACUCUCUUACUGCCAUAGUUAUUCUUGUUCCCAAGGGCUUUCUUUCCUGUCCAUACUCUCAAGCUGAGAACUAAUAAAGUCCCCUGCAUGAUUUCUGUUUCCCUUUUGUGCUCCUAGAUCCAUGAUGACUGUCUGCAGGCUGUAGGUCCUGAGUGUGACUGUGGGUUGCUCCGUGAUCAUAUCCUGCCUCCGUGUUCCAUCUACCCCAGCGUCCUGGUAAGUCUCUCAACAGCAGCUGGCAGGGAACAGGAGCUUUCCCUGAACAGGAAAGUGUCCCUGUUUUCUUAUGAACAUACCACUACACAUGGAAUACCUGUGGUUUGGUAUAGAGUUUUGUUACUGUUUCUCACUACGACGUAGCCCUGGCUGGCCUGGAACUUGCUGUGCAGACCAAGCUAGCCUUGAACUCAGAUCUGCUUGCCUCUGCCUCCCAAGUGUUGGGAUUAUAGGAUAGGUGUGAGCCACUAUACCCAGCCAGAGCGGCGUUUAGAACAGAGGAUCCAAGUGAGACCCCCCCAUUGGAUCCCUGGAUAACUCAUCUUUCUCUUUCAUUGUCUCCAGGUAUCUGGACAAGAGUGCAAACACAAGACCACAGAUGAUACAAGCCUGUGCACCCCUGAGGCUUUUCGGGUACUGGACUGAGGGUCACGGGCUUAAAGGUCAUGCCAGCUUUUGAUUUGAGUCUUAUGGGGAGGGACUGAAGUGGAAAGUAGGGGAUACCUCAUCUCCAAAAACUCCAGCUUGGUAGAGGAGGAGAGGGGAGGGGAAAAGCAUCCUGGGAAAUGCCAGUCCUUCUGCAGAGCUUGCCUUCAUCCUUGAUAAAAUCCUGCUUUAUUUAUCCUUAUUUUCUCCCCCCCCCACACACACUGCAGAUUGAACCCGUUUCUAACACCCACCCCCUUCUAGUCUUCAUCAAUCUUAAGAGCGGAGGCAAGCAGGGGCAGAGGUGAGGAGGGGCAGGGCAGAGGUGAGGAGGCCUAUGCUGGUUCUUCCUAGAUGGAGAGAGAGGAUCAGAGUGAGUGGGGAGGAAGGGGAUGUGUGUGUGGAGGGGAUUUUUUGGGGGAGGGCAUUAGAGAAGAGUAGAUAGAAAUGGAGUACAGAGCGUGAGUCUGGUCAUCCGUGCUACAGCCUUUCUUUUCCUCUCACGCAGUGUGCUUUGGAAAUUUCAGUACAUUCUGAACCCGCGGCAGGUGUUCGACCUGAAGGAUGGUCCGGAGCCAGGGUGCGUAUAGGUCAGGGGUUGUAUCAAAGGGUUUGAGGUGUGUGCGUGCGGGCAUGUGUGUGUGUGUGUGGGGGUUGUAUGCUCAAGGGGGCCAGGGGAGGGAGGGGGAGAGGGAGAGAGGGAGAGAGAGAGAGAGAGAGACUGUCUGUUAGGAUAGGAGACCCAAGAGCUCAGAUUUCUAAAUGCUUUUUCUCCCUAGUCACUAGGAUAUUCAUUAUGUUUGGUUUUCUGACUCUCUCGGUCCCAGUUUCAAAAGAUGGAGAGGAAGUAGUUUUGGGUUUCUCCAAACACUAAGGAAUAGAAACUCAAAUCCCAGUGGUGCACAGGAAUCUGCUGUCACCCUAGUUUUCAUGUUUGCUGGAAGGGCAUUUACCAACUGAACCAUCUGCCCACCCCUUGACAUUUUAUUAUUGUUGUUAUUGUUAUUAUUGUUGUCUGUGGGGUGUGUGUGUGUGUGUGUGUGCAUGUGCCCAUGUGCCACAGUGCAUGCACAGAGGUCCUAGGACAACUUUUGAGAGUCUGUGAGGAUUGAAUCAGAUUCCUAAGCUUGCUCGGCAAGCUCUUUUACCCACUUGAAAAAUGUUGGCCAGGCAGUGGUGGCUCACACCUUUAAUCCCAGCACUUGGGUGGCAGAGGUAUGUGGAUUUCUGAGUUCAAGGCCAGCCUGGUCUACAGAGUGAGUUCCAGAACAGCCAGGCCUACCUACAGAGAGAAACCCUGUCUCAAAAACAAAACAAAACAAAAC
rnacentral:lncRNA from 1 species